rnacentral:rRNA from 1 species
CUACGGGUUGCUCCAGUGGGGAAUAUUGCACAAUGGAGGAAACUCUGAUGCAGCAACGCCGCGUGGAGGAUGACACUUUUUGGAGCGUAAACUCCUUUUAUAUAGGAAGAUAAUGACGGUACUAUAUGAAUAAGCACCGGCUAACUCCGUGCCAGCAGCCGCGGUAAUACGGAGGGUGCAAGCGUUACUCGGAAUCACUGGGCGUAAAGAGCGUGUAGGCGGGUUAAUAAGUCAGAAGUGAAAUCCUAUGGCUCAACCAUAGAACUGCUUUUGAAACUGUUAACCUAGAGUGUGGGAGAGGUAGGUGGAAUUUCUGGUGUAGGGGUAAAAUCCGUAGAGAUCAGAAGGAAUACCGAUUGCGAAGGCGAUCUACUGGAACAUAACUGACGCUGAGACGCGAAAGCGUGGGGAGCAAACAGGAUUAGAUACCCUCGUAGUC